CCUACGGGUGGCAGCAGUGAGGAAUAUUGGUCAAUGGACGAGAGUCUGAACCAGCAACGUAGCGUGAAGGAUGACUGCCCUAUGGGUUGUAAACUUCUUUUAUAUGGGAAUAAAACGUUCCACGUGAGGGAUCUUGUAUGUACCAUAUGAAUAUGGAUCGGCUAACUCCGUGCCAGCAGCCGCGGUAAUACGGAGGAUCCGAGCGUUAUCCGGAUUUGUUGGGUUUAAAGGGAGCGUAGGUGGAUUGUUAAGUCAGUUGUGAAAGUUUGCGGCUCAACCGUAGAAUUGCAGUUGAAACUGGCAGUCUGGAGUACAGUAGAGGUAGGCGGAAUUCGUGGUGUAGCGGUGAAAUGCUUAGAUAUCACGAAGAACUCCGAUGGCGAAGGCAGUUCACUGGACUGCAACUGACACUGAGGCUCGAAAGUGUGGGGAUCAAACAGGAUUAGAUACCCGGGUAGUC
rnacentral:rRNA from 1 species